rnacentral:rRNA from 1 species
CUCUCGGCAACGGAUAUCUAGGCUCUCGCAUCGAUGAAGAACGUAGCGAAAUGCGAUACUUGGUGUGAAUUGCAGAAUCCCGCGAAUCAUCGAGUUUUUGAACGCAAGUUGCGCCCGAAGCCUUUCGGCCGAGGGCACGUYUGCCUGGGUGUCACGCAUCGUUG